GAUGAACGCUGGCGGCGUGCUUAACACAUGCAAGUCGAACGAAGCACUUAAGAUUGCUUCUUCGGAUGACGUCUUUUGUGACUUAGUGGCGGACGGGUGAGUAACGCGUGGGUAACCUGCCUCACACAGGGGGAUAACAGUUAGAAAUGACUGCUAAUACCGCAUAACCCGAUAGGAUCGCAUGAUCCAGACGGAAAAGAUUUAUCGGUGUGAGAUGGACCCGCGUCUGAUUAGCUAGUUGGUGAGGUAACGGCCCACCAAGGCGACGAUCAGUAGCCGGCCUGAGAGGGUGAACGGCCACAUUGGGACUGAGACACGGCCCAAACUCCUACGGGAGGCAGCAGUGGGGAAUAUUGCACAAUGGGGGAAACCCUGAUGCAGCGACGCCGCGUGAGUGAAGAAGUAUUUCGGGAUGUAAAGCUCUAUCAGCAGGGAAGAAAAUGACGGUACCUGACUAAGAAGCCCCGGCUAACUACGUG
rnacentral:rRNA from 1 species